rnacentral:tRNA from 1 species
UCCUCGGUAGCUCAAUGGUAGAGCAUCCGGCUGUUAACCGGAGGGUUGCAGGUUCGAAUCCCGCCCGAGGAG